CCCCUCCGGUUCCCUUUCCCAUCGGAUCUGAACGCUGGUCUUGGUGGUCGUAAAAGGAGGAAAAGGAACACUGAAGCUGGCCUCGUGGUGCUUAUAGUCUGUUAUGUAGACUGUGGGCUAGUUUCAAACAGGG
rnacentral:snoRNA from 1 species